GGCAAUGUGGUGUAGUGGUUUGGGUUAUUAGGCUAUGACUCUGGAGAUCAGGGUUCAAAUCCCUGCUUAGCCA